CGACUGUAGUCCCAGCUACUCCAGAGGCUGAGGCAAGAGCAUGGCGUGAACCCGGGAGGCGGAGCUUGCAGUGAGCCGAGAUUGCUCCACUGCACUCCAGCCUAGGCGACAGAGCGAGACUCCACAACAAAACUGGAUCCCACUCAAUGCAGUUAAGGUGCCAAAAGUUCCCUGAUAUAACACAGAGGAAAGAAUCCAAAGCCUUAAGAAGAUGUAUUUAUUUUUAUUCAUUCAAAAUAAAUGUUGAGGCCGGGCGCGGUGGCCCGCGCCUGUAAUCCCAGCAUUUUGGGAGGCCGAAGCAGGUGGAUCACCUGAGGUCAGGAGUUCAAGAUCAGACUGGCCAACAUGGUGAAACCCCAUCCCUACAAAAAUACAAAAAGUAGCUGGGCAUGAUGGCGGGUGCCUGUAAUCCCAGCUACUCAGGAGAGCAAGACUCCAUCUCAAAAAAUAAAUACACACAGGCUGGGUGCAGUGGCUCAUGCCUGUAAUCCAUGAUGGCUAUUAUUUCCCAGUAACCCAAAAUGCUACUCAACAUAAUAAUAUAAUUGCCCUUUCUAGGUUAUGGUACAACACUGGACCUGAAGAAAAACUCUGAUAUUGUUAUAUUUCAUUCCUUUUAUUGUUUUCUACUAAAAUCUUCAAAACCUUCUUCCAAAAGUGCUGAGAAGCCUCAAAGGGAGUCAGGUGUCCACCCUAGGAACUCAGAGCCAAGAGACAGGUGAGGACCCCCGAAGCUGUCCCCCAGGCUCUCACCAGGCAGAGGUUAGUCACCACCUGAAUCCUGCAAAGUUGCCUCUCCCUCAGACACCUUGGCAUAGUUGGAGAAGGCAGAAACAUAGCUGCUGGCCACCCCAAACCACCCAGAAGCAGCCCAGCGACAGCCAUCCUCUGCCCUGACACACUGGGAGGAGCACAGGCGAACACCCGGCAAUGCCCUGCCCCAUCUUGCCCACAGAGGAGCCCCGCCUACAACCCACUUCCCGGAAAGCCAGCUCCAGGGCAGGAAGUAUGGACAGCCCAUGAUGUUCUGAGGCAUGGGAAAGAGAACACCCAGCCCCUUGUCUCCACCUUCCCGACCCCAGAUGCAGGUGACAAAGACAAUACCAGAAUAGGCCGGGUGCAGUGGUUCACGCCUGUAAUCCCAGCACUUUGGGAGGCCAAGGCGGGUGCA
rnacentral:lncRNA from 10 species